rnacentral:rRNA from 1 species
GUGGGGAAUUUUGGACAAUGGGCGCAAGCCUGAUCCAGCAAUGCCGCGUGCAGGAAGAAGGCCUUCGGGUUGUAAACUGCUUUUGUACGGAACGAAACGGUCCGGGUUAAUACCCUGGGCUAAUGACGGUACCGUAAGAAUAAGCACCGGCUAACUACGUGCCAGCAGCCGCGGUAAUACGUAGGGUGCAAGCGUUAAUCGGAAUUACUGGGCGUAAAGCGUUCGCAGGCGGUUUUGUAAGACAGGCGCGAAAUCCCCGGGCUCAAACUGGGAAUUGCGCUUGUGACUGCAAGGCUGGAGUGCGGCAGAGGGGGAUGGAAUUCCGCGUGUAGCAGUGAAAUGCGUAGAUAUGCGGAGGAACACCGAUGGCGAAGGCAAUCCCCUGGGCCUGCACUGACGCUCAUGCACGAAAGCGUGGGGAGCAAACAGGAUUAGAUACCCCAGUAGUCC